CCUUCGAUAGCUCAGUUGGUAGAGCGGGGGACUGUAGAUUUAUAAUUGUGAUCCCUAGGUCGCUGGUUCGAAUCCGGCUCGAAGAA
rfam:Nematostella vectensis strain CH2 x CH6 NEMVEscaffold_253_Cont20987, whole genome shotgun sequence.